rnacentral:rRNA from 1 species
GUGCCAGCAGCCGCGGUAAUACCAGCUCUCCGAGUGGUGGGGAUGAUUAUUGGGCCUAAAGCAUCCGUAGCCGGCUGGACAAGUCCCCUGUUAAAUCCAACGAUCCAAUCGUUGGUCUGCGGGGGAUACUGUCCGGCUUGGGGGCGGGAGAGGCCGCCGGUAUUUCCGGGGUAGGGGUGAAAUCCUAUAAUCCCGGGAGGACCACCAGUGGCGAAGGCUGUCGGCUAGAACGCGCCCGACGGUGAGGGAUGAAAGCUGGGGGAGCGAACCGGAUUAGAUACCCGGGUAGUCCCAGCUGUAAACGAUGCAGGCUAGGUGUUAGGGCGGCUACGUGCCGCUCUAGUGCCGCAGGGAAGCCGUUAAGCCUGCCGCCUGGGGAGUACGGUCGCAAGGCUGAAACUUAAAUGAAUUGACGGGG